UAGGGAAGUGACCUGUACCCAGUUUGCAAGAUGAAGCCGAAGACAUGUAACACAGAGGAAGCCCUAUGUGGCAGCAGGUGUAGAAGCCGUAUUGAUGGAACAGAGGAACUGCAGUGGCAGAAGUACAGCCUGAGGAAAAUUCCAGGUGGUUCAAAACGGAAAACGGACUACCAGUGUGACCCCACUGCAGGCAGCGUUGGGAAAGGCAGCACACCGUGAUCGAGGAUUCCCACCACCCGGAUGCCACAGACAUGGACAACCUGGAGGGCACAGAGAGUAAGACAAGGUCGUAAAACUGCCAUUAGGAAGUGACCAGUUUUUUUUUUUUAUUAUUUGUUUGUUUGUUUUUGUCUGAGGCGUGGCAUGCAGGAUCUUAGUUCCCCGACCAGGGAUCGAACCCCAGCCCCCUGCAGUGGAAGCACAGAGUCUUAACCACUGGACUGCCCCAAGUCCCCAAGGAAGUGACAAGUUUUGAGUGUCUCUUACCUCUGCUUGUAAUGUAAACUAUUUAAUUUAAUUUUUUAUAAUGAUUCACUCACCACAUUCCCUUUCUCUCUCUCUCUCUCUGUCUCUCUCCCUCAGUUGUGUAAUCUACUACAAGUCUUAAGUCUAGGUCUCCUAUACAAAACAAUAAUAUAAAAUCGAAAUAUCAGAAAAGUCAUCUGCUGUAGUGCAAAGAAAUUAGUCCAUCAACUUGGAGAGACAGAAGACCUGCAGCUUGCAGCUCCAUGUACUUGGUUUAAAGUCCCACGAUGCUCAAUGAUUCGAGAGAAAAUUAAUUCGAGCACCUGACAACCACUGUGGAAACAGUGGCUACACCUAUGUCGGUUCUAUUACAUUAAAAUAAAAUUAAGACAACAAAGAAGGGCUUUGGGGACAUUUCUAUGCGUCUGACCAUUUCCUAAGGAUUUACACAGGUGCUCAAUGAAUAAGACAAAUAAAUUUGAGAAAGGAAAUAUUACGAGUUAAGCAAAAAAAAAAAAAAAAAAAGCAAUCUGGAGGUGGUGAUAAAAGCAUUUUCGAGAUCCUGUUCACUUUUUCAACUUUUUGUUGUUGCUGUUAGCCUCGGCUAUGGUACCAGCCUACUCCGAGCUAAGUACGCAUGGAACACAUGAAGUUUCCAGAUGAAAACCAGGCUCAUACGGAAGAACGAGAUAUUCAAAAUGAUAUCCUGAGUUUUAUUAAAGCAAAACACACUGCAGAACACAAAUAAUUCUAAGAAAGUAAUAGCCAUUACCUCACACUAGUCACUCUGCAUGAUUGAAACUAACAGGGAAAUUUCACCAGGAAAAAAUUACAGUCAUUUUCUGUGUUUGUUUCUAUUAUUACCUACCUAGGCAGUAGGUUAUGAAACAAAGAAUUGCAGUAGAAUUUGAACAAGAGCGAACUCCCCGUCCACGUUUGCAACAAACAGAAGAGCUUCCACCAACUAAGCAAGUGCUCACGACCAAGUCAAAUGCUAAAAUGCACAUCUGAUAAAGAGCCACUGGACUGGGAAUAAAUAAUAAUUAGGCAGGAGUCUAUGAAAGCUGUAAAUAAUAACAAGGCCCCACGGGAAACGCUGUCUGACUAUAUCAACAAACCUUGUCUCUUGGAGCUAAACGAUCGAAACCUUUUUCUCGGAACUCAGAAUAAAGCACGUUUAUUUGGUUUAAUGAACUCCCUAAGGAUUCGGUGACGACCGCAUCUUUCUGUAAUACUUUGGUUGCCCUGCUUCUAAGGAAAGGUACCAUGAUGCACGGCUACCACACCUUCCUCAGAUGUGCGCCUUCCCAGGGGCAGGACAGAGGCAGGUGUGGUGGACGAACAGUGCAGGGGCUUAUUCCUCUUAAAGCAAAAUGGAAACUGACAAUAGGAAGAACUCUGACGAAAACAUAACAAAACUGCGUUCAGACGGUCAAAUAGUAAUUGACACUGGCAACAAGGCACAGGCCUCUGCUUAGGAACGCCACACGUUUUUGUGUUUUAUCAGCCCAGAACUGCAAUCAGGCAUCAGGUCCUUUUCUGACUCCUGGAGCAGACUUGAUCCUCCUUCUAGGCGCAUCCCUCAGGAACACUGAGUGGGAACUUCUCAGUGUCCCUGUCCCUGUCUUACGAGCCCCUCGUUCCCCUCAUUUCUGCUGGUAAGCUUCCUGGGCCAGGUGCUGCUUUGGAAUUUAAAUGUGUUAUGGUUUUCGCUGCAGUUGGUGUAAUAAGUUGAAGCUCCUCUCCAGGGUCAAAAAAAAAAAGACCAGACUAGUGGGGAGACAGGCGAACACCAGACAAAAAUGGAGUCUGGAGUCAGUCAGACUUGGACGCAGGCUACUAACACCAUCAGUUACUGAUUGGAUGACCUUGGCUCUCUUGCCGCCCACCUCCCCAAAUACCAACGUACAUCACAUCUAUGCAGUAAUAAGUGUGGGUCCCUUGAACUGGACCCCUCAGAGAAUAAAGAGAAAACUGUAUAACCAUCUCCCACUUGCCAUUUCUGUAGAGUCCACAGGGUAUGACGCAGCCACCCUGGAAUGAGAGUGAGAAAAGUAUCUGAGCUAGAUUGUAUACAGUACUAUGUCAUUCUGUAAAGAAUGGGAGAGUUGAAAGUGGUUAAAAGCAAUAGUCUGGAACUAAAAAUGGAAAGAUUGGGCAAGAUAUUAGAAACAAACCACCACAGCAACCUCCCAAGUCGUAACAAGAAUUGGGCAAUAGGAGGACGGCCUGAGUCACCGUCAAGGAGAGGAGGCAACGAUAGGUCAGAAUGUGGAUAGAGCAUAUGCUGGAGAGAGGACAGACGAAGACAGCUUGAGGCUGGAGAGAGGACAGAUGAAGACGGCUUGAGGGCUCUUCCUGAGUGUACACCCUCGGCCAAGAUCGCAGACUCAUAGGACGUUGGUGGGAAAAGACUUUGGUAAACAUCUAGCCCAGCACUUUCUUCUUGCUGCCAAAAUGUUGUGCCUUGAAUUCCUGUCCUCAUGCCACUUCAAGUGGUUUGAGAUUGUUUUUGAUUCUGUGCAAAAGUUCGGGAGACCUCAGGGACAGGCUGCCUGGAGACCUGGAGUUGCUGGCGAAGACUGUGCCCAGGCCAGCUGCCGGCGGGCAGGUUAGGAUCAUCCCUUCCCAACUGCUAGCGACAGCCGCAGGCAUACACGCAAGCCCCGCCCCUGCGCCUCAGCUUUCCCACUCAGACUGCGAGGGUGCGGAGUCAUGCCGCUUCGGAAGUUCUCCCUAGCUCUGCAACUUCACCAUUUGCCAGGCUUCGUCCCCACCUCCGUUUUAAGCAGAGUUUUCUUUCCUACACAAAGCGAAUCUCCGUUCCAGAUGUGUGGUGUGUUGGAAAGAACAGAAGAUCUGGAAAUAGAAAGAUGUACGUUUCACUCCUGCUCUCCAUUUUCGAUGGGUAUGAUAUCUAAGCCCCCUGCUUCAUUUCCUUGUCUGUAAAAUGGGAUAAUAAUAUUGUAGGAAACAAAUGGCACAAAACGUCCUUGGUGCAGUAUGAGACACGUAGUUAAGUGCUAAAUAAAUACAGUUUAUUAUAAUUAGUGUUGUGGACAAAGUAUCCAAAGUUACAAGCUUCCCCUCCUGCUACGCGAAGUCUUAUUUUUCUUCUAGGCUAUCUUUAACAUCUAAAAACUCUAAGAUAAACCAUUUUAGGUGAUCAUUUUAUUUCCAACUUUAGGAGAUCCUCCCUUGGUCCACUUAGAAGAGCAACAGACCUGACCUCUGCCUACGAAUUGCAAACCAGCAGCAUCUGAGUACACAACCAGCACCCUGGAGUUUUACAAUUCCCCCCCGCCCCAACUCACUGGCAGGACACUUCAUACAGACUGGCCCCUUUUAAGUGACCUUAAAUUCCAUGCACACUGUUUCCAGCAUUCAUCAUUCUCUGCACUAUUUGCAUAGUCCAGAUUUGCAAACUGCAAGUUGUAGUCCAACUUGCAAAUUGUCCCUCAAGGGAACAAGGGCAUUUACAAAACAGGGACAAACCUUGCAGAGAGGCUUGAGAAUGGCUUACCUACCUUAGACCUCCGAAAAGGUGUGGGUCAACUGCUUGCUUCCUGUAGCCUACAAGUGUAAGUCGUGGUGAGCUUCAAAGUGUAAUUCUUAUUCUGAGCUACAUCUAACAUUACACUCAAGAACAAGACCUGGCUCACACCAGCGAAGCAGAAGAGCGUGAGGCCCAGAGGAUGCAGAAACAGUUACGACUGCACUAGGCUGCAGGGGAACAGGCCCGGAAAGCCCAUAUGACAGUCACAGAAAUUCCCCCACUGCCAUUCCGACAAGGCUGAGAGCAGGAUACUAUCAAACCCGAGGGGGAGGUCUCUCUGUUUAUCUGUCAUGACUCUUCCCAAUUUGGUGGUCUCCCAGAGAAAGAAGCUUCCAAUAAACAGAAGCUUAGGACUCUCAGAAGAUGAUCCUCACUUAUCCAGCAGGUCACGUGACAGCCCCAAGGUCACAGCCCCAUCAAGAGAACAAGCACAGACGGUGCUCCUGGGCGGAGGAUGAUUACAACGCCACAGAGUGAAGUAGUGUGGCCUUUUCACUGGGACAGAAUUAGCUGUAGGAACCUGGGCUGCAUUCCUAUUAAAGAUGCUAACCUGCUCCUACCUUUGCAAAGCCCGAGUAACAUUCUCUGUGUUGCUGACUUCUAAUGACGAUUUUGCAUCCCUGCCCUAGAGCACCUGCUUUGCACCUGUGCCAGCUGUAACCCACACCUGCGCUGACUACAUCAAUGGCCCAACUCCUGCCGGUAAACCUAACUCACGCUGAUUUCCACCCUUCCCACCAGGCCUCUGUCUGGUGAGCAGUACGCUCCUCCCUCCUACAUCUCAGUUUUUGCUGUCCCGGUACCACCACACAGCCCAAGGGAUGCGAGUCCAAAGCCAACAUUUCUUCUGCCAUUGAGUUCAGAUAAAGCAAAAUGCACUAAUUAGAUCGUAUUCCAAACACCAGUUUUCAUGCUUUAUGAUAGAUUUAGGACUCCUGGAAGAGAAGCUAAUGAUAACAGCAGGUCACGCCAAGGAAGGGCCGUCCGUGGGGAUGGACUCCUGCCCACGGGCGCUGCCAGACACUGAGGGUGCACAACACACCCUCACCUCGUCUCCCAAGAUGUCCAUCUCAGUCCUGACCCUCAACACAUCUGGCUGGGACCCGACGGCCCUGAGCUUUCUGAGAACAGCAAUCAGGAGAAGGGAACAAUUUGUCCAACAGCUCCGUGGCAGGCAAGGGUUUUUGCCUUUGGCAACUUCCUUAGAUGGUUGAAAGAUUUAAAGAUUUUUCAACCCGAGUGUGCGGCUCUGACUUCCCCACUUUCUCGGAAUCCCCUUCUCAACAGCCUGAUCUCUGGUUUCCAUCCCCCAGCACUCCAAUAACACUGCCCUUUCCAAGGCCAUCCACAGCCUCAUUCUGAAUAAAUCUCAAGGCGAUUUUUCUGUUCUCGUCCUCCUUCUCCACACCCUCUUUCUUGAAAGUCUCUCCUGUCUUCCCUUGCAAAGUGUGGGCUCUUUUCUCUUGAGUUGCCUCCUUCCUGCCAACUUUUCCUCUGCACGCUAUCCUUCUCUGACACUGCUGAGCUGUGCUUGUCCCCCUAAGCGUUAACCUUCUCCUUCUCCUUCUUAUUCUUCCCCUUCUCCUUCGUCUUCUGUUUCUAUAUACACACACACCCAGCAAUCAGCUGCAAAACCACUUAGAACUCCCCGGGGAGCUUUUAUCCCCAGCUGCAAACGCUCCGGGCACCGGCGGAGCCCUCUGUGCUUUGGCCACCAGGCUAAAACCCUUACCUGCCCACACUCAGGACAGGGCAAACCCUGACAAAAAUAAAAUGCCUUUUGCUUGGAGAUGAGUGAUCCCACCUCUAUAACGCUGCCUCUUUGAACCCCCAAAUCAAUGUUUGGUUUCAAAACUGAAGUUCAGAGCCUGGUUGAUGUGAAAUUCACUUCCCGUCCUUGAGACUCUGCAGACUAAAAUCGAUGCUGACCUCGACUUGUUUCCUUCAAAGCCCCUUCCAAAUUGUUGGCCUCGGUCCCAUCUUCUUCUACUUCUUAACAUUAAACUUGGCACCUCCGUCUUAACGUGACAGCGCUCACAGCCUCUUUCCAAUCUAGUUCACCUUUACUCCAUCACCCAGGGGCAAAAAAGAUGCCUGAAACAGAGCCCUACUUCUCGCUGAGGGGCAAGGUAGGCUGAGCUUGCGCAGAAUUUACAGACUGUGGUCAGGGUUAGGAAGGAGAGCUCCACAUGCAGCGUGAGGGGGUCACAGGCCUAGCUGACCACCUCGGAGGUUGAGGGGAGAGGGCGCCCACAGGCUGGGGCCCGGAGGGCAAGGAGCAGCCCACCCCCAACGGAGCCCAGUGGGAAGAGCCUUCCAGGAGGCAAGCCUGGGAUGGGCAGCCGCCCUGCAACCAGAGGAGUCAUGAUGCAUGUGGCGGUCAGGGGAAAAGGCCAGCAUGACCGGACUGCAGAGAACAGCUCUGGCCUCAGACGUGAGACUGGAGUCAGAUCAAGUAGGGCUUUACAAACCAUGCUGAGAAGACUGAUUUAUUUUAUUUCCCCCCAUAAAAGGAUAUUACUCAAUUACUUUAAUCUUAUUUUAAAAUUUUUACUGGAGUAUAGUUGAUUUACAAUGCUGUGUUGGUUUCAGGUGUACAGCCAAGUGAUUCAAUCAUACAUAGACCUGUAGCCACUCUUUUUUAGGUUCUUUUCCUGUGCAGGUCAUCACAGAGUAAUGUACGUACAGUAGGUCUCUAUUAGUUACCUACUUAUAUAUAGUAGUGUACGUGUAUGUCGAUCCCAAUCUCCCAGUUUAUCCCUUCCGCCCCCCUUAACCCCUGGUAACCAUAGUUUAUUUUCUACAUCUUCAAUUACUUUAAUCCUGACAUGACCAGAAUUGCCAUGCAUGCAGCACACACUGAGGCCUGGGUUGGGGGAGGUGCAGGAAAACCGGUUAAGAAGCCUGAGACGCCUACGGCAGUGACUCCUUAAAGGAGCUCAGAGUUAGUGGGAAAAAUUGUUACCAAAUCAGUCGAGCAAGACUUUGCACCUCUCCCCUUACCUGGAAAGAUUAAACCUCUAGUAACUGGAAUCAAGAGCUCCAAGUUUAGCUCUUUUGCAUAUUCCCCUGGUGAUUUUCACCAAAAAUGCCUUCCUAAAGAUUCCUACGGAAAUAUUAAAACAUAAUUACACAGUAAUCCUAAAAGACAAGGCUAUACAUACAUGUGAUAUUGCUGCUGCCGGAGCUGACCUUUCAAGUUGUAGCCUGCACCAGGGAGUGUAACAGAUUUAGGGAAACCGUGUGAAAAAGGCAGCCUGCAAACUCUUGUGUCUGUGUUCUCAUGAGAUGCAAACACAACAACAAUGGUUGCCACACCUGAGUAAGCAACGUGGGGAAACAGCCAAACAGGAGGGGUAGCAACGUGGAGAGGGUGCUACAACCAGUUCACCCAGGGCCACGGAAGAUGGGCUGCUCACCGGCUCAGGGGCGCAGCUUGUUUCAGGCUCCACCAAGCACAGGCACUGAACAGCAAAGUCAGAAGGAUUAAGUGACUCUGCCGCCUGCGUGUGUGCUGGCCCUAUAGCUGGGUCUAGAAGAUGCCAACUGGCACUCAGGCCGAAACUCCCUUCUUAAGGAGAAACCAGCACUCCCCUUGCUCAGACCAGAAUUUCUCCUUCUGGUUUAACCCCUCCUAGAAAACCAUCCUUGGCUUUGCAAACCUAUGUAAAAACACAGCCCCCGCUCCCUGGCUCUCCUGCCCUCCCCAACACGCAUCUGCAAACCCCUCCUAGGCACAAAUGCAAGACAGUUGCCAGUCGUCCUUCUGGGGAUUCGUAGGGCAACCAGCCAACUGGCCGCCAGCAGGUUAUUCACGCUGCAAUAGGAACCAAAUUUCUUGCUGCAAUUAUCCUUAAAUUUCGACUAUUUACCCCAGGAAUAAACUAAUUGCUGCUGUAAAACACCCUUUCCCACACUGUCCAGCACACAUCUGUAAAUUCCAAGAGGGAUGGGUGUGAGCUGGCUGCCAGUCGGCCUCUGGAAAGGAAUAUGGCGGCUGGCCAACUGGAAGCCAGUUUAUUAUUCACGGCGGAAGAGAACUUGAACUUCUUAUUGCAAAUACCCCACAUGCUUCGGUGUUUACCUUUGAACUACACAACUUGGACCUUAAUUUGUAAUAAGCCCGUGUGUACUGCUGGCUGUGGACUGGUGGCAAAGGCAUAGGGAAGGGAAGACAAUAUCGUAUCUCAAAUAUUUACUGAAUACCUGUGAAACGCCAGGUGGCAUGUUGGUUGCUGACAAUUGUACAUGGGAGUUCUAUAUUCUUAGAGGAAUUCACAGAACGGGGGUAAAAUCCAUUCUCUCCAUUGCCGCCAACUAUUAAACCUGUAAGUGCAGGUUUUGCUCCAAACACCCUUUCAACUUCUCUUCCUUACGUUUUCAUCAUCAAGACUGGAGGUCUUACCAGGGUUUUACAAGGUGUAUGACAAGAGCAUCUUCUGACGUAGCUCACCUUCAGAAGGUCUGUGCUUUUGUGCCUUUGAACAAACUAUUGUUUCUGCCUAAAACCUCUCUCUCCUGCUUCUCCGAGUGUGAAAAGCAUACAAAUCUCUGACGACCCAACCCAAGUGUGGGAGGUGGAGAGAGACACAAGCAUCCUGGAAGGAUACAGUAGACAACCUCACAGGAAAGGACCAAAACGAGCCCAGGGUUGUGAAGAUGGGAACCGGGAAGCCUAUAGGGACCAACACUUUCAAUACGUCUUUCCAGUAUCCUGGCGCCUUCCCAUUCCUGCUUCGGAAUCCAGCUGAAAUGUUACCUCAUCAGAGAAGCCUUUCCUGACCAGCCAGUCCAACAACAUGCUCCCUCACUCUGCUCCGUGGGGUGUGCUCAUAGCAUGGACCGCAACUUGGGAUCGUCGGCGAGUCGGCCUGUUCCCUUCUCUGCCGUCUUUACCCCGGGUGGGCUGCGAGCUCUGCAGAGUUACACAGGUCUCCUGCCUUCCUGCCCAUACAGACGGGGCCUGAUACGGUGCCUGGCAAGCAACCAAUGUUUGUGGGUGGACGAAUGUAUCAGAAGAUAAAGAUUCAAAUUCUGGCUUGAUCACUGACAGUCAUCUUGGGCAAAAUACUUCUUUCUUUUCUUCCUUUUUCAAAUUUUUUAUUUUAAUUUAUGGCUUUUAUUGAAGUAUAGUUGAUUUACAAUGUUGUGUUCAUGUCUGCUGUUCUCCUUUCUAAGUGUCCGUUUCCUCUUCAACAAAAUCAGGAGACUCCAGAAUUAUUCUGAUUCACUGAAAACUACUCAAGCCUCCCUCUCUGAGACGCCUUCCCUAAUUAACCCAUCUCAUUCUGACGCUGAAUGCCUACGCUGAAAUACUAUUUUGCAGCUAUUUUAUGGUUAUUGUAAGGUCUUUGGAGACAGGAAGCAAUGGUUCUUGGAAAAGGAGAGAAUUCUGGGUCACCUGGAAUUUUUGAGACUCCUGAAAUAUCUUCAAAGAAGGUAGAAAUUCCUAAAUAUGUUUACAAAAAGUAUGAUACAAUAUUAAUGCUUACGUUGAACGCAUUCAUGUUUUAAACACAAACGUACGAUGCAAUGUAGCUAUGCUAUGUGUAGAAAACUGUCCACACUUCCUUCGACAAAAACAUUACUCAGGUGCUUACUGACUGUCAAUUACGAGCAUUAAAGACCACUAUCCACCUGCUGUCACAUUUAAUAUGACAAAUCCUGCAGGACAGCCUGUUAUUUCAGGGAUCCCAGUGAACCCUGCUUUCCAGUAUUUACACCCUGUGAGUCUCCACACACACUGAGGCUGAGCUUGGCCACGGGACCAGCUUUGGCCAGUAAGACUUUAGCAGGAAUUAUGCAGGGGCGCUCCCACAUCGGGGGUCGUCCUGGGGCUUGUCCUCGUGAGCUGCUCCUCCAUGGAACCCAUACACCAUGAUUCGAGGAGGCCCACCUGGUGGAGAAUCCAGGCCCUGGUCCUAGCAGAGCUCUCAGGCAGCAGCCCGCAGCACUUACUAACCACGUGAGUGAGGACAUUUCGACCUUCCACACACCCCAUGAAGCAGAACUGCCUAUCAACCAACCAAGAGAAUCAGGAGGAAAAAAAAAUAAUUCAUUGUUGUUUUAGGCCACCACAUUUGGAGGUGGUUUGCUACUGAGCAAUCAGAUAACAGAAACACCCUGAAAAGUAGAUAUCAUCUCAUUUGCACAGAGGAGUCAGAAGUGGCAAGUGACCAAACUCACAUCACUGUUGUGAUUCUCAUCUUUACUGACCACCUUCUCUGGAGGAAAGCAAGUUAAUCUUCAAAACAGCCAAUAUGUCAACAGGUCCUACUAAAGAAGAGCCUCUGUGCGGACCAUCUGACCCGGUUCCCUCCACCCCAAAGCCAUAGACAAUUGAAAGCAGUUGGCAACGAACUCAAAAACAGCCAAAUCACCAACUGACCUACAGCCUCCACUACGGCUUCGCAACGGCAUGAAAAGCCAUGCUGAACCCACCAGGCUCCCUGUCUCAAGAGCUCUAACUAAACAGACGGGAUGCCUACGGCAGCUGAGCAGCAGAAACUGAAGCCAACAUGGUAGCACGAGUCAGCAUACGACAGAUCAUAACACACCAAAGCUAUGAGAAAACAUAAAAUCAAAUGAACAAGCAUAAGCUAUAAAGUAGAAAAAAUAACAGUGUUCAGGUAAAUAACUUCUUCGUAGACAUUCAGAAGCAGAAGCGGGCAGAGGAAACAGUCCAAAGCAGCAGAAACAGGAAAACGUGCUACGUGUUGGCAUCUCCACACGGCUCCCAAGAACUGCCUGGUUUCCUGAUGGUUUUCCAGUUGUGAUUUUUAAAAGGUUAUGGUCUUAUAAUAAACUGAUCUU